AUGUACCUUGCAAAAAAGAAGUCGAAUUAGGUCGUACGAAAUUUUCGUAAAACUAUUGACAUUGCAGUAAUUUUAUGUUAAACUGUACAUUGCAGAGGUCAAUGCAGCCUACUGCACACUACAGGUUUUAGGAGGAAAUAAAAUGCAGGGUAAGGUUAAAUGGUUCAACGCUGAGAAAGGCUAUGGCUUUAUCGAAAGCGAAGAUGGAACAGAUGUAUUUGUACACUUCUCGGCUAUCGUUGCCGACGGUUACAAGACUCUGGAAGAAGGCGCGGCAGUUGAGUUUGAAAUUGUAGACGGAGCUAAGGGUCCUCAGGCGGCUAAUGUAACAAAGGCGUAAGGACUGUUUUAAUAUAGUUUCAUUAAU
rnacentral:sRNA from 1 species